ensembl:misc_RNA predicted gene, 27502
AAGCUGCUUAGUGCUUCCGGCCUUAGCCGGAGAAGCGCUGGUGGCGGAGUGGUCGGAGGUGGGCUCUGAGGGCUGCGCAGAACUCUUUUCUGCUGAGAGGCUCUCCCACAGUCCCGGGCGGCUGCAGGCCCAGCCGGGGUAGGGGCGCCCUCAGAGCUGUGCGCCUUGCCUGCUGCCCUCCUCCCGGCUUAGCGCUCGAAA